rnacentral:rRNA from 1 species
UACGGAGGGUGCGAGCGUUGUCCGGAAUCACUGGGCGUAAAGGGCGCGUAGGCGGCCUGAUAAGUAGGGGGUGAAAUCCUGCGGCUUAACCGCAGGGCUGCCUUCUAAACUGUCAGGCUGGAGCACAGUAGAGGCAGGUGGAAUUCCCCGGUGUAGCGGUGGAAUGCGUAGAGAUCGGGAAGAACAUCAGUGGCGAAGGCGGCCUGCUGGGCUGUUGCUGACGCUGAGGCGCGACAGCGUGGGGAGCAAACAGG